GAUGAACGCUGGCGGCGUGCCUAAUACAUGCAAGUAGAACGCUGAAGGAGGAGCUUGCUCUUCUGGAUGAGUUGCGAACGGGUGAGUAACGCGUAGGUAACCUGCCUGGUAGCGGGGGAUAACUAUUGGAAACGAUAGCUAAUACCGCAUGACAACAGUUAUUGCAUGAUAACUGUUUAAAAGGGGCAACUGCUCCACUACCAGAUGGACCUGCGUUGUAUUAGCUAGUUGGUGAGGUAACGGCUCACCAAGGCGACGAUACAUAGCCGACCUGAGAGGGUGAUCGGCCACACUGGGACUGAGACACGGCCCAGACUGCUACGGGAGGCAGCAGUAGGGAAUCUGCGGCAAUGGACGGAAGUCUGACCGAGCAACGCGGCGUGAGUGAAGAAGGUUGUCGGAUCGUAAAGCUCUGUUGUAAGAGAAGAACGAGUGUGAGAGUGGAAAGUUCACACUGUGACGGUAUCUUACCAGAAAGGGACGGCUAACUACGUG
rnacentral:rRNA from 1 species